GCAGCCUGAUGCAGCCAUGCCGCGUGUGUGAAGAAGGCCUUCGGGUUGUAAAGCACUUUCAGCAGUGAGGAAGGCGUAGUGGUUAAUACCCGCUGCGCUUGACGUUAGCUGCAGAAGAAGCACCGGCUAACUCCGUGCCAGCAGCCGCGGUAAUACGGAGGGUGCGAGCGUUAAUCGGAAUUACUGGGCGUAAAGCGCAUGCAGGCGGUUUGUUAAGCAAGAUGUGAAAGCCCCGGGCUCAACCUGGGAACCGCAUUUUGAACUGGCAGGCUAGAGUCUUGUAGAGGGGGGUAGAAUUUCAGGUGUAGCGGUGAAAUGCGUAGAGAUCUGAAGGAAUACCGGUGGCGAAGGCGGCCCCCUGGACAAAGACUGACGCUCAGAUGCGAAAGCGUGGGGAGCAAACAGGAUUAGAUACCCUGGUAGUCCACGCUGUAAACGAUGUCUACUUGGAGGUUGCGGUCUUGAACUGUGGCUUUCGGAGCUAACGCGUUAAGUAGACCGCCUGGGGAGUACGGUCGCAAGAUUAAAACUCA
rnacentral:rRNA from 1 species